UUUGGUGGCGAUAGCGGAGGGGUUCCACACGUACCCAUCCCGAACACGACCGUUAAGCCCUCCAGCGCCGAUGGUACUUGGACCGAAGGGUCC
rnacentral:rRNA from 1 species